UACGGAGGGUGCAAGCGUUAUUCGGAAUUACUGGGCGUAAAGCGCGUGCAGGCGGGAAGGUCAGUCUGAUGUGAAAGCCCCGGGCUUAACCUGGGAAGUGCAUUGGAAACUGCUUUUCUUGAGUACUGGAGAGGAAGGGAGAAUUCCCGGUGUAGAGGUGAAAUUCGUAGAGAUCGGGAGGAACACCAGUGGCGAAGGCGCCCUUCUGGACAGUUACUGACGCUGAGACGCGAAAGCGUGGGGAGCAAACAGG
rnacentral:rRNA from 1 species